GACGAACGCUGGCGGCGUGCUUAACACAUGCAAGUCGAGCGGUAAGGCUCCUUCGGGGGUACACGAGCGGCGAACGGGUGAGUAACACGUGAGCAACCUACCCUUCACUUCGGGAUAAGCCUCGGAAACGGGGUCUAAUACCGGAUAUCACUCCUUACUUCAUGGUUUGGGGUUGAAAGUUCUGGCGGUGGGGGAUGGGCUCGCGGCCUAUCAGCUUGUUGGUGGGGUAAUGGCCUACCAAGGCGUCGACGGGUAGCCGGCCUGAGAGGGCGACCGGCCACACUGGGACUGAGACACGGCCCAGACUCCUACGGGAGGCAGCAGUGGGGAAUAUUGCGCAAUGGACGGAAGUCUGACGCAGCAACGCCGCGUGAGGGAUGACGGCCUUCGGGUUGUAAACCUCUUUCAGCAGGGACGAAGCGAGAGUGACGGUACCUGCAGAAGAAGGACCGGCCAACUACGUGCCAGCAGCCGCCGUAAAAC
rnacentral:rRNA from 1 species